rnacentral:lncRNA from 1 species
CCAGAGGAAAGCUCACGAUUGGAUUGGAACUUCUAGCGACUGCCUGAGGCUCCUCUGCAACAUCAGGCAACCAAGGCCUGCGCUCUCCUUUUCCUGAGGAGACUCCCUGGAACCUUCAAGAACCCCCCGACAGCCACCAGGAUACCCGGUCUGAAUGGUUUCCUACCAAGAAAGACCCCGAAGACCUGCAGUUCUGUCCAGAAACGAGUUUUUAGGGUCACUUGAAUUUGAGCUGCUGCGAGGGCGGUGCUUUAGGGAGCAGAGUUCAAAGAGGAAUUCCUCAGGACCCUAGGCCAGGUCCGCGUUAAAGGGCGCCUUACAAACCUCCUCUCC